rnacentral:rRNA from 1 species
AUUGAACGCUGGCGGCAGGCUUAACACAUGCAAGUCGAGCGAGCGGCGGACGGGUGAGUAAUGUCUGGGAAACUGCCUGAUGGAGGGGGAUAACUACUGGAAACGGUAGCUAAUACCGCAUACCAUCAGAUGAACCCAGAUGGGAUUAGCUAGUAGGUGGGGUAAUGGCUCACCUAGGCGACGAUCCCUAGCUGGUCUGAGAGGAUGACCAGCCACACUGUGACUGAGACACGGUCCAGACUCCUACGGGAGGCAGCAGUGGGGAAUAUUGCACAAUGGGCGCAAGCCUGAUGCGGCCAUGCCGCGUGUAUGAAGAAGGCCUUAGGGUUGUAAAGCACUUUCAGCGGGGAGGCGUUACCCGCAGAAGAAGCACCGGCUAACUCCGUGCCAGCAGCCGCGGUAAUUC